UACGUAGGGUGCAAGCGUUAUCCGGAAUUAUUGGGCGUAAAGGGCGUGCAGGCGGCCGAUUAAGUCUUGUGCUUAAUCCCGGGGCUCAACCCCGGAUCGCACGGGAAACUGAACGGCUUGAGUGCAGGAGAGGAGAGCGGAAUUCCACGUGUAGCGGUGAAAUGCGUAGAGAUGUGGAGGAACACCAGUGGCGAAGGCGGCUCUCUGGCCUGUAACUGACGCUGAGGCGCGAAAGCGUGGGGAGCGAACAGG
rnacentral:misc_RNA from 1 species